AUCCCAUGUUAAGGACACUUCCUCAACAAUUCCUUAUACCUUUCCCAUACCUCGUACAAAGUUACAGACUCCAUCAAUUGGAAAUAAGAUAUAUCAUUUAUGAGCAU